UACGGAGGGUGCAAGCGUUAUCCGGAUUCACUGGGUUUAAAGGGUGCGUAGGUGGCUUUGUAAGUCAGUGGUGAAAUCUCGGAGCUUAACUCCGAAACUGCCAUUGAUACUGCUUAGCUUGAAUCAAGUAGAGGUGGAUGGAAUAUUGCAUGUAGCGGUGAAAUGCUUAGAUAUGUAAUAGAACACCGAUUGCGAAGGCAGUUCACUAUGCUUGUAUUGACACUGAGGCACGAAAGCGUGGGGAUCAAACAGG
rnacentral:rRNA from 1 species